GGCAAUGAAAGGAGUGUCGAAUGUCCAGGGGCAGAGAGUUCCAGAGGUGACUAAAUGCUCUCGACCCCAUGGUAACCAGGUGUGUAGGUGGAAGGAUGAUCCGGAUGGAGGAAGAAGACCUGAGAGAACGGUAAUGUGUCAAGAUGCAGGGCUUAAGUACAUCCAUCACUUUCCUCUUAGACGUUGGACCACCUCAUGCAGAAGAAUAUCUGAACACGCGCCACACGGGUGUCGAGAGUGGAGGAGGCAAAUCAUCGGACAUCCCACCCACGAGUACCCUAGGCCCCCCACAUACAAUGGGCGUGUCGGGAAAAUGCUUCGAGAUGGGGGACGAGCGUCCGCCGGGGUGUAGCCUACGUCACCGCCCCCCCUACGGCAAAGGCCCAGAUGGAAGAAGUCAAAAGAACGGAUGUGAGGGGAAAAAAAAGAAAGACAAUUCGACUUUUUGUGUGCGGUUGUCUCUUGGAACAAAGCAACCAAUCGAUCACUUUGAAGGUACAGCAAACUCAAGUCACAUCAAAUAAAAAGGUACGUCGUUUGAACUCUACAAUCCAUCACAUGGACUCUUCUUACUUUCCUUAUCAGAGUGUAACGUCAAUGCAGGGUUUUUUUCUCGGAUGAUCGAGAACAGAUUAUUUGUAUUUCCACAACGGGAAAAAGUCAAGGCAGCUCAAUGCAUCUUUACAGAUAUCGCACACGUGGAUGCAGCGGCGUCUUCUUUCGCACGUAGCACGCAGAUUUUUCAAACUUAGUCGCUGUCGACAAGGAAAAUCUUUUACCGCUUUCUCAUCUACCGUCUCUUCCGGUUGCUUCUCUUCAUCUCCUAUCUUGCUGAGCAGUACAAAAGCCCAGACUGCAUCCCGCUGUCUGCACCCUUUUGGAAUGAGCUCCAAGUUCCCAGGUUGGCAUGGGGUGCAUACUGUACAUUGUCAUCAGCAUGUCACAGAUAGCUUUUCAAAAUGC